UACAGGGGGGGCAAGCGUUGUUCGGAAUUACUGGGCGUAAAGGGCUCGUAGGUGGCCAACUAAGUCAGACGUGAAAUCCCUCAGCUUAACUGGGGAACUGCGUCUGAUACUGGAUGGCUUGAGUUUGGGAGAGGGAUGCGGAAUUCCAGGUGUAGCGGUGAAAUGCGUAGAUAUCUGGAGGAACACCGGUGGCGAAGGCGGCGUCCUGGACCAAUACUGACACUGAGGAGCGAAAGCCAGGGGAGCAAACGGG
rnacentral:rRNA from 1 species